UAAUCUGUGUAAGACGUACCUGAGCUGCUGCUCUGAUUUUUGACAUGAGCAGUGGCCUCAAGACAGCGGGAGGGUUCGAGUGUUCGCGGGAGCGCUGUGGUGAGAUCAGGAAUGAGGAUUACGCCUGUCACUGUUCAGAUGACUGUCUGCUGAGAGGAGACUGCUGUACCAACUACAGACCACUGUGCAAGGGCGACAGCUCCUGGCUGGAGGGUGACUGUGAGGAGAUUCAGAGCCCAGAAUGCCCAGCAGGGUUCGUCCGUCCG